UACGGAAGGCAGCAGUGGGGAAUAUUGCACAAUGGGCGCAAGCCUGAUGCAGCCAUGCCGCGUGUAUGAAAAAGGCCUUCGGGUUGUAAAGUACUUUCAGUCGUGAAGGAAGGUGUUAAGGUUAAUAACCUUAGCAAUUGACGUUAGCGACAGAAGAAGCACCGGCUAACUCCGUGCCAGCAGCCGCGGUAAUACGGAGGGUGCGAGCGUUAAUCGGAAUUACUGGGCGUAAAGGGCACGCAGGCGGUUAAUUAAGUUGGAUGUGAAAUCCCCGGGCUUAACCUGGGAAUGGCAUUCAAGACUGGUUUAGCUAGAGUCUUGUAGAGGGGGUAGAAUUCCAUGUGUAGCGGUGAAAUGCGUAGAGAUGUGGAGGAAAUACCGGUGGCGAAAGGCGGCCCCCUGGACAAAGACUGACGCUCAUGUGCGAAAGCGUGGGGAGCAAACAGGGAUUAGAUACC
rnacentral:rRNA from 1 species